GACGAACGCUGGCGGCGUGCUUAACACAUGCAAGUCGAACGAUGAACCACUUCGGUGGGGAUUAGUGGCGAACGGGUGAGUAACACGUGGGCAAUCUGCCCUUCACUCUGGGACAAGCCCUGGAAACGGGGUCUAAUACCGGAUAACACUGCCACGGGCAUCUGUGGUGGUUAAAAGCUCCGGCGGUGAAGGAUGAGCCCGCGGCCUAUCAGCUUGUUGGUGAGGUAAUGGCNCACCAAGGCGACGACGGGUAGCCGGCCUGAGAGGGCGACCGGCCACACUGGGACUGAGACACGGCCCAGACUCCUACGGGAGGCAGCAGUGGGGAAUAUUGCACAAUGGGCGAAAGCCUGAUGCAGCGACGCCGCGUGAGGGAUGACGG
rnacentral:rRNA from 1 species